rnacentral:rRNA from 1 species
AUUCCAGCUCCAAUAGCGUAUAUUAAAGUUGUUGCAGUUAAAAAGCUCGUAGUUGAAUUUGUGGCAGUUGCCAUGGUCCAAAAUGUUUUGGUACUGUUGGGAACAGCCAUCCUUGGGUGGAACCUGUGAGGCAUUAGGUUGUUUUGUGGGGGAUGCCCAUCAUUUACUGUGAAAAAAUUAGAGUGUUCAAAGCAGGCUUAUGCCAUUGAAUAGAUUAGCAUGGAAUAAUGAGAUAGGACUUUGGUACUAUUUUGUUGGUUUGUGCACCAGAGUAAUGAUUAAUAGGGACAGUUGGGGGUAUUCGUAUUCCAUUGUCAGAGGUGAAAUUCUUGGAUUUUUGGAAGACGAACUACUGCGAAAGCAUUUACCAAGGAUGUU